UACAGCGAUAUCACGUUGAAACAACGGUUCUCAUACAAUUACCGAAGUUAAGGGAACGUCGAGCCUGGUUAGUACCUCGAUGAGUAACCACUUGGGAAUAUCAGGUGCAGUA